CAGAACAUCAGUGCACUCACUAAUACAAUAUUGGUUACCAUGACAAUAAUUUGAGGUCAACAACCAUUAUUAAGAUAAAUGAAAGUUCGGGUAUACGGCGAUUGAAAACGAGGCGCUGUACUAAUUCCUGACCCACACGAACACUACCAAGAAUGCACUCCCUGUGGCGCUUGGUUAUGAUGAAUUAACUACGACGUGAAUUAGACCUUAAAUCCACGACUCUGACGUCAAACGUGCUACACAGCAACCACAGCGUCGCUCCUCGGGCGAACGUUUUGUGUUUAUUUAUGAUUGAGAGGACCAAUAUGUAACACCACCAUUGUUGAAGAACGGGUCAAUUCCAUUGUUUGUGGGCUGAAAAGGAUAUUCGGCGGAAAUUGUAAAAAGAUAAAAACCAAACAAGUUUGUGUUUUCCCUCCAACAACGACUACACUCCCAACAACAACCUCGACCACUACAACCUCCCCAACAACAACGUCACCAAGCCCUACGACAACCAAACCGACGACAACAGAAGCCCCGGCCACUACUACUACAGAUCCGACCAGUGCUAUCGACUGUUCCCUGGAUACGUUCUUUCCUGACAAAGAUCAAACCAAAUACUUCCAGUGUCAGGGCAAUAUCCCAACACUCGUCACGUGUCCGGUCACCAGAAGUACCAACGGCGGACCAGACCGUGAACAAGUGUGGGACCAACACUCGCGCUCAUGUAUGACUACUCCCGCGGGCACGGCAAGCUGUCGCGAGCCUACAGGACGUCAGCCCGGCCUCUACUGUAACAUGUACAUUGACUGCCAGAACGGCGUGCUGUCUAAGAUUCGGUGCGAGACUGGGUUCUUUUAUAACCACGCAAAGAGGGACUGUACAAUGAACUCCACAUGUACCGAAGUGUAAACACUAGGUGAAUAUGCUGUAUCGCAGAAGACGAAUAAAAAUAUGAUGAUCUGGGCAGGAUAAUCUAAACCUAGGCAGGAUAACCAGAAUUCGGACAGGGUUGCCUUGAUCCAGGGUUAAUUUAAUCCGGGCUGAAUAACCUAAGUCUAGGUACACUUCAAUCCGGGCUGGACAGCCUCGAUCUGAUAGCUAACAAAGCUGACUGAUGA